rnacentral:rRNA from 1 species
CAGUAGCCGCGGUAAUACGUAGGGUGCAAGCGUUAAUCGGAAUUACUGGGCGUAAAGCGUGCGCAGGCGGUUUGUUAAGACAGAUGUGAAAUCCCCGGGCUUAACCUGGGAACUGCAUUUGUGACUGGCAAGCUAGAGUAUGGCAGAGGGGGGUGGAAUUCCGCGUGUAGCAGUGAAAUGCGUAGAUAUGCGGAGGAACACCGAUGGCGAAGGCAGCCCCCUGGGCCAAUACUGACGCUCAUGCACGAAAGCGUGGGGAGCAAACAGGAUUAGAUACCCGCGUAGUCCCUGUCUCUUAUAA